rnacentral:rRNA from 1 species
GACGAACGCUGGCGGCGUGCUUAACACAUGCAAGUCACGGGGGCCCGCAAGGGUAACCGGCGAACGGGUGCGUAACACGUGAGCAAUCUGCCAUUCACUGGGGGAUAGCCGGCCCAACGGCCGGGUAAUACCGCAUACGCUCCUUUGGCGGCAUCGCUGAGGGAGGAAACCUCCGGGGGUGAAUGAGGAGCUCGCGGCCUAUCAGGUAGUUGGUGGGGUCACGGCCUACCAAGCCAUUGACGGGUAGCUGGUCUGAGAGGAUGGCCAGCCACAUUGGGACUGAGAUACGGCCCAGACUCCGACGGGAGGCAGCAGUGGGGAAUAUUGCGCAAUGGCCGCAAGGCUGACGCAGCGACGCCGCGUGGGGGAUGAAGCAUUUCGGUGUGUAAACCCCUGUUGCUCGGGACGAACCUCCCUUUUCGAGGGGACUGACGGUACCGGGUGAGGAAGCACCGGCUAACUCCGUGCCAGCAGCCGCCGUAACAC